ACGAAGGGUGCAAGCGUUACUCGGAAUUACUGGGCGUAAAGCGUGCGUAGGUGGUUCGUUAAGUCUGAUGUGAAAGCCCUGGGCUCAACCUGGGAAUUGCAUUGGAUACUGGCGGGCUAGAGUGCGGUAGAGGAUGGCGGAAUUCCCGGUGUAGCAGUGAAAUGCGUAGAGAUCGGGAGGAACAUCCGUGGCGAAGGCGGCCCCCUGGGAUGACACUGACGCUCAUGCACGAAAGCGUGGGGAGCAAACAGGA
rnacentral:rRNA from 1 species